rnacentral:lncRNA from 1 species
GGCCGCUCGCUUUCUCGACUCCCGCCUCGCGCCUCGAUCCUGUUCCGCCUCCCUCGGCCCUCCUGCCCGCCCCCACUCGUCGGCCCUCAGGUUCCUGGAAAGUGAAAAUUUCAUUUCUUUGUGGACAGCUCAGAGACCUAAUAGGAUGGGGUCUUAGAGAAACAUCUUUUGAGCCACAGACUUCUUUGUUACCAGAAGGAAAAUGAAAGAAGAAAUUUAAAUACCACUUGAAGAGAGGUGCUGCCCAGUUCAUGAGUGCUGCUGCUGUCCUGCCCAAGUACCCAGCUUGCAGAGUGCCAGAGUUAGAGUCCCAGGGGUGUUCUCCACAGCUGCAUGCUUGAUCCAGGCCUAUCAGAUAUAUUCCAUUGAAAGUCCUCAUUCUCAAAUUUAAAACAAAGACUUUUUGUGUACCUCAAUAGCAAUGCACACACAGUUGGCUUCACAAACAUAUUGUACAUUUCUUUUUUUCAUAUUUAUUCAACAAAUGUAUAUUGACUACCCACCGUGUGACAGGUGUUAUUUGUUGACGGAACCAGGCAUCAUCAGCAAACAAAACUGACAAAGCUUCCUGCCCUCUGUGGAAGGCAUCUGAGGAAGAGACUGGAUUUUGUAGCAACAUGUUAUUCUCAUUAUAAACUUUAUCAUUGGAAUACUAAAGCCAAAUCAUCCCCCAUCUCCUUGAUCAGGAUACCCACUUAAUCUAGGCAGCUACACAAUUGUGAGAGCCUUUGUUUUUUUCUGCUGAAACAUCCUUAAAAAGAUACCUCACAACCCAAGAUUUGGCUUUUCUUAAAUACGAUUUUUAAUUUUUUUCAUUUCUAUCUAGAGAUUUAAUUGGAAAUGGAAAAUCAUCAAUUUUCCAAUUAAAUGUCUGUUCCAAUCAACAUUAUACCUUUUAGGUUGUCAUUGUCAUUUUUAAGUUUAAGCAACUUUAAGGAUUUUGAAUCUGGCUGCCUGUAAAUUAAAGGUGAAAGUAAUCAUUGUGUUGGAUUGGAACAUUUUGUCAAUUGAGAGUGGUUUCCUUGUUCUUAGUGUAUGAAAAGUUUAUUUUUCUAAUGUAGAUUAAUAAAGGAGAUAAAGAAAAACAAAA